rnacentral:rRNA from 1 species
UGGGGAAUAUUGGACAAUGGGGGAAACCCUGAUCCAGCCAUGCCGCGUGAGUGAUGAAGGCCUUCGGGUUGUAAAGCUCUUUUGGCGGGGAAGAUGAUGACUGUACCCGCAGAAUAAGCCCCGGCUAACUUCGUGCCAGCAGCCGCGGUAAUACGAAGGGGGCUAGCGUUGUUCGGAAUCACUGGGCGUAAAGGGCGUGUAGGCGGUUUGACAAGUUGGAAGUGAAAGCCCAGGGCUCAACCUUGGAAUUGCUUUCAAGACUGUCUUACUUGAAUUCGGUAGAGGUAAGUGGAAUUCCCAGUGUAGAGGUGAAAUUCGUAGAUAUUGGGAAGAACACCAGUGGCGAAGGCGACUUACUGGACCGACAUUGACGCUGAGGCGCGAAAGCGUGGGGAUCAAACAGG